rnacentral:lncRNA from 1 species
AUAACAUGGCCCCCUAUCUCUUUCUCUGCCUAUUCCUCUUCUUUCCCCAUCUUUAUGCUUCUUUUCUUCUUCAGAAUCUCACUCCUGCUCUUCACUAAUCCAGUUUAAGGACUCUUUUUCCAUCACAAAGGAUGCUUCCUGGUAUUUCGAUUAUAUUACUGGCCUUAAAUCUUAUCCCAAGACAAAUUCAUGGAAGGAGGGUACAGAUUGCUGCUCAUGGGAUGGGGUCACUUGUGACCACCUAAAUGCUCAUGUUAUUGCCCUUGACUUGAGCUGCAGUUGGCUAUAUGGCACCUUCCCUUCCAAUACCACUCUCUUCCUUCUUCCUCACCUUCAAAAACUCAACCUUGCCUACAAUCAUUUUAAUUCUUCCAAAAUUCCAUCCGAGUUCGGUCGGUUUACAAGCCUAUUCUACCUCAACCUUUCCAAUACAUGGUUUUCAGAAGUCCCAUCCCAAGUCUCCCACCUGUCAAAAUUGGUUUCACUUGAUCUCUCCUCUCGGAUUGAUUACUCUGGGCAAGUUACAAUUGACAAACAUGCUCUGGAGGGACUUGUUCACAACCUAACCGAGGUCAGACAUCUGUUUUUGGAUGGAAUCAACAUGACUUCUGUUAAUGCUCAUGUCUUCAUGAAUCUAUCCUCUUCUCUAAGGUCUCUCAGUCUUGCUUUUUGUGAUUUGCAAGGAAAAUUCCCAAAAAACAUUUUUGAUUUGCAAAACCUCAAUCUCCUCAACUUGAGAUACAACCAAUUGAGUGGACAAAUUCCAAGAUCAUUGGGGAACCUCUUGCAACUCACUCAUUUACACUUGUCGGGGAACCAAUUGAGUGGACAAAUUCCAUUGUCAAUUCUAAACCUAACGCAGUUGGAAUACUUGGAAAUAUCUGAAAAUUCUUUAGAAGGUUCCAUUCCAGAUGAGGUAACCGCUUUUCCUAAUCUAAUAUAUUUAUACUUAUCUGACAAUUUACUCAAUGGAACACUUCCGUCAUGGUUGUAUACUGCUCCCUGCUUAAAGGAAAUAUAUCUCUCUCAAAAUCAAUUCAGUGGGCAUAUCAAAGAAUUCCAAACCAAAUCACUAGAAUAUUUAUAUCUAGAAAAUAAUAAACUCCAAGGUCCCCUUCCAUCUUCAAUAUUCCAACUUCUCAAUCUUACCGGGCUCCUUUUAUCCUCAAAUAAUCUUAGUGGUGUCAUAGAGUUGAGCAUGUUCUCAAACCUUCCAAAUCUCAAAUAUCUUGACCUUUCAUAUAACAGCCUAUCCUUAAUAUCUAAUACUACUUCUACUGUUAAUCAUAUAUUGCCUAAUCUUACAGGCUUACAUUUGUCAUCUUGCAAUCUUAGUGAAUUCCCCCAGUUUUUAAAAGGGCUUAAAAGUUUGGAAAGCUUAGACCUCUCUUGCAACAAAAUUGAAGGCAAGAUUCCACAGUGGAUGCAAGAGGUGGGGAAUGUCUCUUUGACUUACUUCAACGUAUCUCACAACUCUUUGACAGAAGUUGAGCACUUUCCAUGGAAGAAUAUUGAAAGUCUUGACUUAAGCUCCAAUUUGAUCAGUGGAAAUCUUCCGAUUCCAGCUUCGACCAUCAAUGUCUUUCUGAUCUCAAAUAAUAGUUUCAAUGGAGAGGUCUCUUCUUUAAUCUGCAAUGCCAGUGAUCUUGAAAUUCUUGAUUUGUCCCACAAUAACUUGAGUGGAACAAUUCCGCAAUGUUUUGGAAAUUUGAGCAACAGCCUUGAAUUCUUGAAUCUGAAGAAGAACAAGUUCUAUGGGACGAUUCCUCCAAAAUUUGCAAAGGGAUGCCGAUUGACUAAUUUCAACUUAAAUGGAAAUCUGUUAGAAGGGCCAUUGACUCCAUCCAUCCUUAAUUGUAGGGGUCUGGAAGUGCUAGAUCUUGGUAACAACAAGAUCAAUGAUACAUUUCCUCAUUGGUUGGGAAGUCUUCCACAGCUACAAGUUCUUGUAUUGAAGUCAAAUCAUAUGCAUGGUUCCUUAUGUGUCAAUAGCUCCAAGUCUAGCCCUUUUUUCUCUAAAAUCCAAAUUUUUGAUCUCUCAAGUAAUUAUUUUUCUGGACCCCUACCAGUGAGAUACAUCAACAGCUUCAAGGCUAUCAUAAAUCUAGAGAAGAUUGGUAGUACAGUGUCGUACAUGGGGGUGAAUGAUGGCUUCUAUACCUAUUCCAUUGGAAUUGUUAUAAAAGGACAAUAUAUGGAAUUGGUGAAAAUUUUCACCAUGUGGAUGAUCAUUGAUCUAUCAAACAAUCAGUUUGAAGGGGGUAUUCCAGAGGUUUUUGGGAAGCUUAACUUACUGAAAGGGCUCAACCUUUCUCAUAAUAACCUUAAUGGUGGUAUCCCCACCUUAAUAGGGAAUUUGACAAGUCUUGAAUGGUUGGACCUAUCUUCAAACAGGUUGUCUGGGACGAUUCCAAAUAGAUUGGCAGAUCUGCCAUUUCUUUCGUCCUUCAAUGUUUCUGAAAAUCAACUCCAUGGUCAGAUUCCUCAAGGCAAACAGUUCAACACAUUUGGAAAUGAUUCAUAUGAAGGAAACAAGGCAUUAUGUGGAUUUCCGGUCUCAAAAGGUUGCAACAUCAUUGAGCCAGCACCUCCAAAUGUGCUUGAAAAAGAUGGCUCAAAAUCAAACAUUACUUUUGGUUGGAAAGUGGUGUUGAUAGGUUAUGGAUGCGGAGUGGUGUUCGGAAUGUCCGUGGGAUAUGUUGUUUUCCAAACUGGUAAGCCGAAAUGGUUGGUGAAUUUGGUUGAAAUCCAACAUGAGAAGAAGCGAAGAAGAAAGUCAAAGGAUGGCAGUCGCAGCAAUGGACGAAGAAGAAUCUAGUUAGUGGAAAUGAUGUUCAAGUGUUGAUGUUGUAUCUUCAUAAUUUCUUGUUUUGAAGUCUGUCAAAUUUUUUUCCUAUCGUGAAAGGCUGCAUUGCCAUGCAUCUGUCUUUUUUAUUGUAACCAUUCAUCUAUAUUUCAUUGCAUUACGUAGUAUUUGUAAGGGUUUGUUUUAAAUGUAACAUUUUGUAUGGUUCAACUAUUUAUGUCUCUUUCAUGAGUUUCAUUUUUGAGUCUCAAUAAUCUCUGCAUUCAAGAUUUUGUCAGCUUAUUAAUUGGUGGAUCAAUAAUCUUCAUGCUCAUCUCAUCAUCUUUUUCUCGAGUUAAACACAGUCACUACUAUAAUAAUUUCUUCUGUGUGGAAAAUAAUUUGGCAUUCUGCAAAUUUCCACAAUGCUUGUGGAUUACCUCUGGUUGACGGCUAUACAUAUAAAGGAAGGAAACAAGACUAUGUCAAAAUUUCCAAAAAUCAGUCAUUCAUUUUUGAACAAUUAAACAUUCGUAUUCUAUUUUUCAAAAUUGUAAAUCCUCAAAUAAUGUAAAUUAGUCCUAAAACUCAAGUUUUGAAAUCUUUACAAUUUAACCCCUUAUAGUUUCAAACUUUACUAUUUUAUGCUCAACUUUCUAAAUCUUCAUAUUUCAUGAUCAUAUAAUUUAGUUAUUACAUCAAUAUUUCAGAUUUCACUACUCAAACCCUUACUUCAUUUUGGUCCUUACUUCAAUUUUAUCAAAUUAAAUCAUUUUUCAAUUUGAAUGCAUUGAUGUGAAAUUAAGGGACCACUAAACAAUGUUGAUGCGAGUUUAGGCAAAAUUGGUGGAUCCCAUCUCCACAGCAAUUUCUUUAUGGAAGUACUUGCUUUCACACUGCAAACUUGGAUAGUUUGUGGUGGACGAUGAUGAAUCAUUUCACAAUCAAACACACCAUUUUUAAACACAUAUAUUGAAAUCAUUAUUAAAAUUAUAAUCAAAAUUAAUACAAGUUCUUUUUAUUAGCUUAAGGGCGUAAAAACUCUUCAAAAUUUUCCAAAUAAAAAAUAAAAAAUUUAAGUCCCUCUUUUUUUUUUACACUCAAUUGAGUACUUAAACUUUUAAAAUGUAUCAAAAAUAUCUUAACACUUCUUCAAAAAAAGCAAUUAAACCCCCUUUUUUUUCCGCUCAAUUGGGUACUUGAAUUUUCAUAAUGCAUCAAAAAUACCUUAAUUUUUUUUUCAAAGAAACAAUUAAGCCUCUAUUUUUUUCCUACUCAACUAGGUACUUGAACUGUCAAAAAAACAAUUAAGCACCUACUCUUAUUAAAAAUUAGAAAAAAAAUCAUAAAAAUAAGAAAAAUUUAGAAAAAAUUAUUAAAUUUUAAUAAAAAUUUAAAAACUUAUUAAAAAUUAGAAAAAAUUUUAGAAAAAUUGUCAAAAAAUAAAAAAUUAUAAAAUUUUAUAAUUAAGCACUCUUAAAAUUUUGAAAAUUCUCAUUAAUCUCACACAAAUUUAAAAUUUUUUAUUAGACCCCCAAUUUUUUUUAAAAAUGUUAUUAAACCCUUAAAUUUUUAGAAAAUUUUACCUGCCCCCUCCCAAAAAAAAAACUAGUCCCAACUCUUAGGAUCCGCCAUUGGUACUUGGUAUUAACACUAUUAGAAAAUUGCUAAAUCAACCAAUGAAAAUUUGACACAUGGAACCCUUUUUUUAAAUUAUCAAGUUACGGAUGUUCUUCAAGGGCAUGGAACUCAACUUGAAAAUUUUACUAAUUUGGUUGCAAAAAACAUUGAGGAAGCAUAUAAUGAUCUAACCCUUUUUUGUUUUGUUCUGUUUUUAAUUUGUUAUGGGAUUCUAUUGAAUGAUAAUUUUUUUUAUUUCCCAUACUUGGUUCUUCAACAACAACAUAUUCGAGAUUUUAUUUUUCUAGAAUUUUUAUAUAAAAGUUUGUAUUUUUUAAAAUAAUUUUGAGUUUUUUAUAAUUUUUAUAUAGAAUCGAGGUAAAUUGGCAAAAAAUUAUAAAAAACAAAAUACUAAAAUUGUUUAGUUAAGUGACCAAAGCGAAGAUCUACCCAUAGUUCAGUGGCUAAUUAUGUAGUUUACCCUUUCAUAAUUAAAAAAAUAGUUGUUCAGUUUUUCUUGUAUUAGAUAACAUUUUAGAUGGUAAAAACCCUCUUUAGUCCCUCUCAAUUUUGAUAUUAAGUAAAUUGGUCCAUUUUUUUUUAAAAAAAUCAAAGCAAUUUAAUCUUUGUUAAUUUCGAAAGUGAGCAACUAAGGACAAUUAAUCACAAUGUCAAUAUUUUCCAUCAAUUGUACAUAUUUUUAUUGGUAUAAUAACAAAUUUAGCUCUCCAAGUUUACACAUUCUAUCAAUUUGUUUUGAUUUAACAAAUUUAGCCCGCAACAGUUACAUAUUCUAUUAACAUUUACACAUAAUAUAUAAACAUCGAGAGCUUAAUUUGUUAUUAUAUAAAUAAAAUUAUGUACAAUUUACAGAAAGCAUUAACACAAUAAUUAAUUGUCCUUAGUUGCUCCAUUUCAAAAUUGAUAAUGAUUAAAUUGCUCUAAUUUUCUGAGAGAAACCAAUUUCUUCAAUAUAGAAAUUGAGAGGGACGAGAAAUGUGUUUUUAUCCAUUUUAGAUACUAACAAGUGUUUGGCGUAGUGGCAAGGCAUAUUACAUUCUCAAGGAGAGAAUGCGUAUUCAAACGUUGGAGAUAAUAAUAUUGUGUGGGGUAUCCACGGAUCUCGAACACAGACUGUAAAACAUAUAUAAAAAAUAAAAAGAAUAACAUCUUAAUUUAAAUAAUUAAUAAAUUUUAAUUUCAAAAAAGUAUUUUGAGAAACAUAGGUUUUAGUAAAUAGUAAAAUUGAAUCGAUAAAACAUGUCCAGUAUAUCAGAAUCAUAAAAAUACAACUUAAUUAAUUUGAAUUUAAACUUAACUCGACUCAAUUUGAUUAUAAAAAACUGAUAAUUUGAAUCCAAAAUGACAUGAUCUUGAAAUGAUUUGAAUUAAUUGUCAAACCCAAACGACAAAACUCGAAAUGAUGCAAUCCAAAAACACAAGUCAAAUGAACUAAACUAUGAAAGAAAAAAAAAACCUUACACCGACUCAAAUCCAAAAUAAUUUAAUCCUAAAAUAACCCAAAUUUUAUAUAAUAUAAACUCGAAAUAACCCGAUAAUUUUUUUCAGUCUUACUGUGUUUAUCUUUAUAAGUAUUCUUGUUUUCCUUGCCCAUACAUGUAUUGUAGUUAUCAAAAAAUAUAUUCUACUUUGGAUUUUAUUUAUAUUAAAUUUUAGGUUAAAUUCCGCUAUUACUCUCUGUACUUUAUGAAAAUGAUGGAUUUAAUCAUUGUACGUUAAUUUAAUCAAUUUUAGUCUUUGUAUUUUUUGAAUUGGUCAAUUUUAAACCAUUUACUUUUUGAAUUUUGAAAUUUUAGUCUUGAUUCAAAUAAUAUUAAUAAUAAUAAAAUCUGCUUAUUUAAAUUUAAUUAUUAGUUUUGUACUAUGUAGACAAUUAUAGAUUUAAUCCAUAUUUUUCAAUUGGGUCAUUCCAAGUCUUUAUACUUUUCAAAUUUUAAAAUUUCAAUAUUGAUGCAGAAUGCGAGUUGCUAUUAAUUAAUUGAUUUUUUUAGCCAAUGCAUGUAGAAAUAAUAAGUUGUUAUGUCAUUAUACUUAAAAUAAUAUAUUGGUUUAACCCGCUUAAAUUAUGUCUUUUUUUCCAUCUUGGGACCUAAAUUUUUUUGGGGUCAUAAGUGGUACCUAAACUACUUUUUUUUCUCCUUCAAAUUAGGGCUCCUUUGGAUCACCAGCAAGUUUCAGUGUGGUGAGAUUUAAAGAGUAAAAAAAAUUUGAACUGAAACGCAGCUCUAUUUGGGGUGUUUGGCAAGCACACCAGUAAGCAUUUUUCACCUCACUGUAACCCAAAAUAUUGGCUGGAGUUAAAAGCUUCAGUGGACUGAUUUGGAAGUCCAAAAAUAAGAGUAAUUAUUAUUUUACCCCUCCAAUUCUUCCUUUAUUAUUUAUUUUAUUUAAAACAGAUAACAUAAGUUUAAUAUGUCAUUAUUUAAUAUUAUUUAAUUUACAAUAAAAUUAUAAUUUUUAUUUAUAAAUUUAGUAUAAAUACAAUUUAAUUUAUAUUUUAUUAUUUGAUUCAAAUAUAAUCUGUAAAAAUAUUUUGAUAUUUUAUUAUGAAUAUAAUUUAAAAAUAUUUUAUUGUAUAUUUAAAAUAUUUUGAUAUUUUAUUAUGAAUAUAAUCUGUAAAAUAUUUUGAUAUUUUUGAAUUUUUCUCUAGUUUUAAUUUAUUUUUAAUUAUUUAUUAUUAAAAAUAAAUAUAAUUGUAAUAAUUUUUAAUUAUUUAUUAAUUUUGUAAUUGUUAAAUAAUUUUAAAAACUUCUAUUAUAUAUAUUUUUAAUCUAAUGUCCUUAAAAGUCAUUUUCUAUUUUCACCUCACCGCUACAACUGCGUUUGAAUCCAAACACACACUCCACCGCUGUUUCUAAUCUCACCGCUACAGUAUCCAAUCUCACCGCUACAGUACCUAAUCUCACCGCCACCGCUGUUUUUAACCUUACCGGAACUAAACACACCGCCCAUCCAAACCCACCCUUAGUAUAUUCAUUAGUUAAACUGUUAAGUCUAUUUAAAAAAGAAAGACUCGGACAACAAAUUAAUACUUAAACAAUGCUCUUUUUCCCAAGGUACCUAAUUUUUAUUUUGGCCAUGAGUAUUACUAAAACUAUUAUUCCAUUACUCAUUUUACACCAAAAUGUUAUAUCGGCUGAAAAGAUUCCAACAAAUAAUAGAUUGUAUGUCAUAUAAACUUUUAAAAAUAAUUAUUAAUUAAUUUUUUUCAUAUAAACUGAACGGUUUGACUAAUGACGGAGGUACCAAAUUAUAGUCUAGGUACCAAUUUAUGGGUUAAGCCUAUUUCUAAAAUAGACUUUUGACUAAUGGCGGUAGUAACUUGGGAAAAAAAAGUAGUUUAUGUACCACUUGUGAACAAAAAUAAGUUUAGGUACCAACAUCGUAAAAUGAGUAUAAUUUAGAUACCGAUUUAUGAGUUAAGCCUAAUAUAUUUGUUGCAUCAUUUUUUUGAAAAUAACAGAACUUAAUAAAUUUAACGGUUAUUUUUUGGUGAUGACUAAAAUUUUAAAAUUUGAAAAGUACAUGAACUAAAAAUGACCAAAUUAAAGUAUAAAGAUUAAGUCCACAACUUUUACAAAGUACAAGGAGUAAUAGCAGAAAUUAACCUAAAUUUCAUAUGGGUCACUUACAAAAAUAAUCACUAAACUAUUCCUUUGGUUCUAUUCUAGUCACUCAACUAUAAAGGUGCUCAUGAGCCGGGCCAGGUCAGGCCUAAGCAUGAUAUUAACGUACCUUAUGCUUGCUCAAGCUUGGCUCGGCCCGAAAUAUGAGCUUAAAAUUUCGCCUAAACUCAUCCAUAUUUGCAAAAGACUAACCUAAGCUCAUUUUAGGCAUGCCCAUAUAAUUUUUAGUUUUUUUUUAAUAUUUAUAUUAUAUUAUAUUAAUAAUUAAUAAUUUAAACUUUUUUUAUUUAUUGAAACUUUUUAUAUAGUCAUUUUAACAUUAUUUUAAUGUUUACAUUAUAGUAUUAUUAUAUAUUUAGUAUAAGUUUAUUUUGUUAAUCUAUUCUAAACUAUAUAAUAUAAAGUAUCAUACACUUAAAAAUAGGCCGAGCUGGGCUUGAGCUUUGAAUGUUCAAGCCUGAACUCAGCCCAAAUUUUAAACGGGCCUAAUUUUUUUACCCAAACCCAAUUUUUGGGCCUAAUAUUUUUAUCCAGACCCUCCCAAAUUUUGGGCAGCCCUUGGGCCUUGGCAAGUAGCCCAACUCAUUAACAAGUUUACUCAACUAUUAAUUUUUUCGAUUUAGUUGUUAACCUUUUCGAAAGUAAAUAUUUUAGUCACUCUCCUGUUAGGUGUUGUUAAAUGAGUGAUGGAAAGCUAAUGUGGGCUUUUUUUAUUAGUCUAAAAACAAAUUUUGCCCUCUAAUGUUUACACUUCUAUCAAUUUGAUCCUAGAUAUAAAAAAAAAUCAAAAAAUUUAGCCCUGAAUAUUAUCAAAAAUUAGCGAUUUAGUUCUAAUUCUAAAAAUUUUAAUAUAUACAUAUAUUUAAAAAAAUAUUUUUAAUCCUCUGUCUCACCCUUUGAUUUUUUUAGAGAUAUUCAAAAAUUAAAAUAUAUCAUUAUGUCUUUUCGUUUUAAUGCUAAAAGAGAUAAAAAAAAUAGAAAGCUAAAAUGACUUUUCAUUUGUAAAGUUAAAAAAUACUAAAUAAAUCAUUAUAUCUUUUUAGUUUUAAUUUUUUACUUGAUUAAAAGAGAAAUAAUUAACGAAUGAAAAAUAAUUAUUCCCAAAUAAAUUUAUAAGAAAUGAGAUUUUGCUAAAAGAAAAAGCAUGUAAAAGUAUACACGUUCUUAUGAAAUACAAAGAUUUUGCUAAAAGAAAAAGUAUCCAAUUUUAAGAAUGAAAAAUAUAUGGUAAAAGGAAGACUAAGUGGUUGUUGAAAAAUACAAAAAUUUUGAAAAUCUAAUAUCCAUAACUUUUCAAUGUAAAAGAAAAAAAUGACUGUAACACCAAUGUUGUGGUAUUAUUUGUUGCCUAUAAGUACCAUUCCUAUCCUUCAUCUUCCUCUACCAACAUAACAUGGCCUCCUAUCUCUUUCUGUCCCUGUUCCUCUUCUUUCCCCAUCUUUAUGCUUCUUUUUCUUCUUCAGGAUCUCACUCCUGCUCUUCACUAAUCCAGUUCAAGAACUCUUUUUCCAUCACAGAGUAUGCUUCUUAUCAUUGCAAUGAGAUUGCUGGCCUUCAAUCUUAUCCCAAGACAAAUUCAUGGAAGGAGGGUACAGAUUGCUGCUCAUGGGAUGGGGUCACUUGUGACCACCUAAAUGCUCAUGUUAUUGCCCUUGACUUGAGCUGCAGUUGGCUAUAUGGCAACUUCCCUUCCAAUUCCACUCUCUUCCUUCUUCCUCACCUUCAAAAACUCAACCUUGCCUACAAUCAUUUUAAUCGUUCCAAAAUGCCAUCCGAGUUCGGUCGGUUUACAAGCCUACUCUACCUCGACCUUUCCAGUACAGGGUUUGCAGGAGAAGUCCCAUCCCAAGUCUCCCACUUGUCAAAAUUGGUUUCACUUAAUCUUUCUUGGAUUGGACAACAAUUAACAAUUGACAAACAUGCUCUGGAGGGACUUGUUCACAACCUAACCGAGGUCAGGUAUCUGUUUUUGGAUGGAAUCAACAUGGCUUCUGUUAAUGCUCAAGUCUUUAUGAAUCUAUCCUCUUCUCUAAGGUCUCUCAGUCUUUCUG